rnacentral:rRNA from 1 species
CAGAACGAACGCUGGCGGCAUGCCUAACACAUGCAAGUCGAACGAGACCUUCGGGUCUAGUGGCGCACGGGUGCGUAACGCGUGGGAACCUGCCUUAGGUUCGGAAUAACUCAGAGAAAUUUGAGCUAAUACCGGAUAAUGUCUUCGGACCAAAGAUUUAUCGCCUUUAGAUGGGCCCGCGUUGGAUUAGCUAGUUGGUGGGGUAAAGGCCUACCAAGGCGACGAUCCAUAGCUGGUCUGAGAGGAUGAUCAGCCACACUGGGACUGAGACACGGCCCAGACUCCUACGGGAGGCAGCAGUGGGGAAUAUUGGACAAUGGGCGAAAGCCUGAUCCAGCAAUGCCGCGUGAGUGAUGAAGGCCUUAGGGUUGUAAAGCUCUUUUACCCGAGAUGAUGAUGACAGUAUCGGGGGAAUAAGCUCCGGCUAACUCCGUG